rnacentral:rRNA from 1 species
UACGGAGGGGCGAGCGUUAUUCGGAAUUAUUGGGCGUAAAGGGCGCGUAGGCGGCUGUACAAGUCAAAGGUGAAAUCCCUCGGCUCAACUGAGGAACUGCCUUUGAAACUGUACGGCUUGAGGCCGGGAGGGGGUAGCGGAAUUCCCGAGUGUAGCGGUGAAAUGCGUAGAUACUGGGAGGAACACCAGUGGCGAAGGCGGCUACCUGGACCGGUUCUGGACGCUGAGGCGCGGAAAAGCGUGGGUAGCAAACGAGG